UAUGCAACCUGUCCAACCUCCCCCCAGGACUGCCACUCUCCCCCUUUCUCUAGUUUUUACAUGGUAUUUAAUCUGUAACAUAAUAAAGCCUACUUAUUCAUUAAUUAUAUUAUUUAUUGUCUUUAUGCCCCCACUAAAAUGUGAACCCAUGAGGACAGAGAUCUUUGUCUAUUUUGUUCACUAUUAUAUCUCAAGUGCAUAAAACAAUGUCUGGCAGACAGUAGUUACUUAAUAAAUAUGCAUUGAAUGAAUGAAUGAAUGAAUGAAUACCUGAAAUGGUUUAGGAGUACUAAAAUUCACUACAUCAAAAUAUUUCCCACUGUCCCCUGCCUGGUAGCUGAAAUCCCACCAUUCCAUCUUCAUUCCUUUGGCCAAGGGUUUUGGCCCCAGUUGAAAAUGCAAAUGCCCCCUGGGAGAGGCAUUACACAUUAUUAGUCAUCCUCAUUCUCCUGUGAACAGUCUAGAUUAUUCAGUGCCUACCUUUAGAAAAGCAGCCUAGAUAUAGAAACAGUCUAGAUUUUGUUGGUUACAAAAGAAAUCUGACUUCUUCACCUUUCUGGUGUUUUCAUACUCAAUUUUCAACCUAACAGAAAAAAUUAGAAAUGACACAAAUCUAAAUAUCUCUUCCACUUAGUUUCAGGAUGCACAAAGAAAAAUGAACACACAAAGAAAAAUGAACACAGUUCUCUUCCUUAAGGCCUUCCUUAUAGGCCUAUGUCAGAGUGAUAAGUGAUCACACCAUUGAGUGAUCUGCACUGUGCAAGUGUUUUACAGGCCUCACUCGUGUAAUCCUCAUUGCAGCCCUAGGUGUAAUAGGUGAUGUGAUAUUGCUCUUCGGGUCCCCAUUUUAUAGAUGUGGAAACUGAGACUUAGAGACUUCAGUUACAUGUCCAAGGUCACCCAGCAGAAAAAAAGGUAUUUCCUAAAUAUUUGGUCUUGCAUUGUACACCUGUAUCCCUGGAACCUUUGGAACACAGUCCUUGGUGCUCUCUCUCGAGCUGAAGGUGUGUUCUCCUCUCCCACGGUUCUUCAUUGGUGCCCUCUGUCUACAUGCUGGUAUGUUUGUACAUAGUAUUAUAUUUGUAUAUGAAUGUGCCUUUUCUCCACCCCCACUGCAUUUCAAAUGUCUUAAGGAAGAGAACUGUGUUCAUU